UGAGGGCUGUUUUAAACCUCUGGUUUUCACUUCCCGUAGUGACUACCUGCCUUUUGGUGCUUAAAAACUACCCUGAAUGAUUUCCCUGGGAGGAAAUCCCAAGUAGGUUGAACCCUAAAUGAAAACAUAAUGCAGCCUUAAAUUCUUCRAAGCUCAUUGUCCUUAUUCCUUCAUUGGCAGUUUAUUUUUUUGUAAAUGGAUGCUUUUAGCAAUCCACCCAAAUGUUUCCCCUAAGCUUGACUUUAAAUUUUAAAUUGUAAUUACAAGUUACAUAGUUACCUUCUAUAAAAUGUAAACUGCUGCUUGGUUCUUCUCAUUAAUCUGCAGUCCUUAGAAAUGUUCAAAUCCCUUAAAUCUCCUACCUUCCAAUUCCUUUAAAAUCCCUUAAAUCUGUUUUUUUCUAAACCUUUCCUUUUUAGAUACUCCAUCUCUGUUCCUUAUUUGUCUUUGCACUAGGCUUUCUGUUUCUCUAGACUCUUUAGAAGUCUGGCAGUUUGCUUAAUKCUGGGCAGAGGACACCCGUUAUUCCGCAGGAGCUCUCCUAAGGACUCUGCCACAUAUCCAAAGGGUGAUCGGGACUUCAAURCUUUGAAAAAGAGCUUCCUUCCCCCUCCACCAUCCCCCGCCUUGCCCAGUGGUACAUUUUUGUUUUGAUCCAAAGAAGCACUAUAAAACUAUGAUCAAGAAAUAUUUAUUAAUCUGCUCCCUUGUUUGGGGUUGCUGAGGCGUGAAAGGAGCAAGGUGGAUCAGGGCUGAUUCAUACGGUAAGCAGCUGUAGUACUGAAUCAAAUUAAUCCACCUAUUGUUAAAAAGGGGCUAUGGAGCUUUUCCUUUCUAGCUUUUAUGCUAGACAUAGAAACUAUUUCAUCUUYUGAAUGAUUUGCCGUGUACUAGAGUUUGUUGCUCUGAGCUCUACACAGAUGCAAAAGAUUCUUUUCUUAUAGCCUUGCUUAAGUAGCAUGUACACUAGUAACAGGCUUUGUGAUGUUGUAAUUGUUAAGAUGGUAUAAGACGUGCUGUUAUGUUGUUUUUUUAACCUUUUGGAGGAAAUUAUAUUUCUCAAGUUACUAUUAAAACCAGUUUCCUGCAGACUGUGGCUGUGUCACCUCCACUUUCAAUUGCCCUGGCGUUCUCUAUGGAAGAAGUUAACCUGGCUUCGAGACUUGGUCAUUCCUUAAUCUUGUUUCUAACCACUUGUUAUGACACUGGAAUUCAUUUCUUUCUGCCGUGGGAUAAACUUUCUUCUUAUUCAGAACAGGUUACUAGCAUGAGUUUGAGCAUGAUGCUAACUUUAUUAAAAAUUAACUUGUCUGGUUAUGUACCAGGCACAAACAUAAACGUGUCUGGGUAACCAUUUUCCAAAUACCAGUGAAAUACGUAAUUUUCACUGGUCCAAUAAUCCUUGGAACYAUCUUCAAGCUUUGCUCUGAAGCCAUGUGAGCAGAGACGCUCCUUUGGAACCUCUGCCUUUUUAUAAAUCUCUUUYGCAAACAUAGUUUUGGUGUGGCCAAGAAAAAGAAAUUUUUUAGCUUCAGCUAAUUUGAUCGACUUCCAAAAAGUGGAACUGAACCCAUUUAUUCUGCUUUGAACUGGUGGCUCUGAGAAUGAAGCUGGAAGAAGGGCUGGUGCCCCUACUGACACAGUACCUCGGUUCUGCUUCAGUGCAAAUCUGAACUGUUGAUUUUGGAGCAAUGAUUCUGAAUCCUAUAUGUGGCUAUCGGCAAUACUGGAACACUGGGAGCUCUGUA